rnacentral:rRNA from 1 species
AACGAACGCUGGCGGCAUGCCUAACACAUGCAAGUCGAACGGGAUCCUAGCUUGCUAGGUGAGAGUGGCGGACGGGUGAGUAACACGUGGGAAUCUGCCUUUUUGGUUCGGGAUAACCGCGGGAAACUGCGGCUAAUACCGAAUGCCCUCGAGAGAGGAAAGAUUUAUCGCCAGAAGAGGAGCCCGCGUCCGAUUAGGUAGUUGGUGGGGUAAAGCCUACCAAGCCGACGAUCGGUAGCUGGUCUGAGAGGAUGAUCAGCCACACUGGGACUGAGAUACGGCCCAGACUCCUACGGGAGCAGCAGUGGGGAAUAUUGGACAAUGGGGCAACCCUGAUCCAGCAAUGCCGCGUGAGUGAUGAAGGCCUUAGGGUUGUAAAGCUCUUUU